rnacentral:tRNA from 1 species
AGAAGCUUAGGUUAAAUAAACCAGCGACCUUCAAAGUCACAGAUAGGGGCAACCUGCCCCCUAACUUCUG